GGAGGUUGCAGCCAGGCUAACAGAAACCCAGCCCUGCCCACUGGGUGAAACUGCAAGUCGAGAGCGUGGGAAACCAGCAAGUUGAGAGAGGAUCCAGAAGUAACCCCUUCUAAAACGGGAAAGAUGCCUUCCGAAAGACCGGAUGGCCUGGUACUGGUCUUCUCUAGACUGAAGGUCCUCCACCAGGUCUCCUGCUGCUGCUACCUAAGAAAGAAAUCUCACAAGGGUGUUAAAAGCACUUGGCCCUAAAGAGAAAACACUAGGAGGAUGGGAACCAGGGACAGAGAAGCUACUUGCUCUGCAGCUGUUUGGGCCAAUGAUCCAAUGGCCCCAUCUAGACUGGAGACACCAACUCAUGACUCAGCUGGCCUUGUGGCCCACACCCAGAAGUGGACUCAGUGCAUGAGGACUAUUUUCCACACUCCUAUGAUAGCAUCCCCAACCAAUCAGCAGGACCAUUUCCUAGCCCCUUGCCCACCAAACUAUCUUUUAAAAAACCUGGCUGGGCGCAGUGGCUCACACCUGCAAUCCCAGCACUUUGGGAGUCUGAGGUGGGUGGAUCACGAGGUCAGGAGUUCAAGACCAGCCUGGCUAAGAUGGUGAAACCCUGUCUCUACUAAAAAUACAAAAAAAAUUAGCCGGGCAUGGUGGCAGGCACCUGUAAUCCCAGCUACUUGGGAGGUUGAGGCAGAGAAUUGCUUGAACCCAGAGGCGGAGGUUACAGUGAGCCGAGAUCACUCCACUGCACUCCAGCCUGGAUAACAGAGCAAGACUCUGUCUCAAGGAAAAAAAAAAACAACCUAGCCUCCACAUUUUCAGAGAGGCUCGUUUGAGUAAUAAUAAAACUCUGGUCUCCCAUUUAGCUGGCUCUUCUUGUAUUAAACUCUUUUUCUAUUGCAAUAACCCUGUCUUGAUAAAUUAGCUUCAUCUGGGAAGCAGGCAAGAAGAACUUAUUGGAUGGUUAUAUAGUGGGCUUCUAGCAUGGCCUAGAGAUGCAGAGGCCAUGGCAGAUAAAGCCAACUUCCUCCAACUGAGUAGAGGACUCAGGGGCCCAGAGGAGUCAGAAGGGGAGAUGGGAGCCAAGGAUGAGGAAGAACUCCUGGAAAGGCCUGAGAAAGAAGGACCCUAAGUUUAGCAUCUUAGGUCCCGAAAAAUGGCUGAAGGAGAGGAAAAGAUGGAGAGAAAGAGUAUUGUGACAUGAACCUGCCCCUGUGCCUCGAGUUCCUGGGAGUUUCUUGUUAGCUUCUGUGUCCUGUUUUUCUGUAUCCUCUGCAAAGGAAAGAUGAAAUCUGUUGCCACAUAGGCGAUGGGGUUCAGGACACACUACUCCAAAAGAUGGCAUCUUGUCAUAUUGAAGAAAAUAGCAGAAACUGGACCAUUGGUCUUACCUUUCCCCAUACUUCUCCCCUGAAGUGGAUUAUAAAACCUAGGAAGGACUCUCUGACUGAGACGGUUUGGCUGUGUCUCCACCCAAAUCUCAUCUUGAAUUGUAACUCCCACAAUUCCCACAUGUCAUGGGAGGAACCCAGUGGGAGGUGAUUGAAUUAUGGGGGCGAGUCUUUCCUGCACUGUUCUUGUGAUAGUGAAUGAGUCUCAUGAGAUCUGAUGGUUUGAUAAGGGGAAGCCCGUUUUGCUUGGCUCUCAUUCUCUCUCUUUGCCUGCCACCAUCCACGUAGGAUGUGACUUGCUCCUCCUUGUUUUCCAACAUGAUUGUGAGGCCUCCCCAGCCACGUGGAACUGUAAGUCCAUUAAACCUCUUUCUUUUAUAAAUUGCCCAGUCCAGGUAUGCCUUUAUCAGCAGCAUGAAAACCAACUAAUACACUGACCUUCCCCUAAAGUAGGUUAUAUGACCCUCAUCUGACAGAUGCCCUCCUUAGACCUACAGGGAAGGAAAAAGCAUCCUUAUCUCUGAAAAUGGAGGAACACAGAGAAAAAUUCAAACAAACAGGCCUCGUUAAGUCCCUGCCCCAUUUAUUACCAUUAGAUAAUAUUCUUUGUCCUAUCAUAUUUCUCCAUGACUGUUCAUUCUUCAUCAAACCUAGAAUAAAAACACUCAAAUGUACCUGUUUCUUUGGUCUUCAUUUCCUUAUGAAGGCUCUCAUGUCACGUAAAACUUAUUUGAAAUAAACCUGUAUGGUUUUCUGAUUAAGCUGCUUUUUGUUACAGGCCAUAAACCUAGGAUAGGUAGAGAAAAGGAUAUUUUUCCUCCCCUACAUUGAUCCAGAUGCAAUCACCACCAUUAGCAGUGCUUGCUUGACUUUGACUGCUCAAGAAAAGUUAGUGGAUUUGCACCCACUCACCCACUCCCAUCCCCAUUUCUAUGAAACACAUGAUUUAGCAUUGUGCUAGAAGAGCAGAGAUUUGAGCUCUUCUUAGAGGCCGCUCUAGCAUGCUGCUUCUUCUGAGAGAUAGCAAGUAAGACCCUCAUGGCCAUGCAUCCAAGGUUUGCUGCCUUGAGGGCCACUGCUUUUUACCUUUACAUUGCUGCCUUACUAAGUCCCAGCAGUCCAGGAAAAUUUCCUGGAUUCAGACGUUCCGAUUAUUCUGAAAAUUUAUUUUUCCUGCCCUCCACUCACAGAACUGCUUAGACAGAGUGACUAUAUACCAUUGACUGUAAAUUCAUGAUCAAUUAAAGAAAAUAACUUCUCUAAUCCAAGUCCAAAGGCUGAUAACAGAGGCCCAGGGACUCCUGAGCUAUCAGAGGGAGGCACUAGGCUAGUCUCCCAGUGAAAUCAAGCAAAGAGAGAAAUCAUUAGAGGAGCCAUGUUUAUUGUUUGAAUUUUAUGAAUACAUAGAAUUCUAUGAAUCAAAAAAGGGAAGUUCACAUUGGUUCUGUGCAGCAUGUGAUAAACCACAGCAUUGCUAUCUACAUUUUUUUUCUUUCUUUAUGAUCAGUAGCCUCUCAAUAAAGUGGAUAUUUUGAGUGUUGCAGUACCAGAUACAGACAUAGGUUGUAAAGAAGAAGAGUUUUUCCACUUGUUAAAGAGAUAGGAGUAAAGCAGCAAAAGUCUGGAACAUUUCUGGGGGUAUAUUGCUUAUCAGAGUGUUCAGUUAUUCUAAGGCCAACUUCAUUUUCUAUGGUUUUUCUUAAGAAAACAUUUGUGAAAAUAUCCAAUUAUGAGUACAAACUACCUCCCAUGAAUUAUCUGUGAUGUCUAUACUGAUUCCCCAUGGAUGUUUAUAUAGCCAGAUGUUUGAAAUCUUGGGCACCAUCUCCUCUGACAUAAACAAUUUUCUGUGAAACCUUCCAUGUUAACCAGUGGUACCUGAUUCUCAAAUCUGAUGUAAAUCUAGCAUAUACUCUUCUCCCACACAAUGUCUUUGACUGUAACUGUUUUGCUAUUAUACUGAAAGUACACACUCUUUUCUCCUAACCAUGGGCCCCAAUUCCCACAAGAUGAGGACAAACUACAGAGUAGCAGAGGGAAAAGACCAUUGCUUUUCCUCUUUGAAGACUUUCUAUGAAAUUUCAUCUUUCUGCUCUGCGGAUGGCGUUUUAUGUUGGGAAAAUAGUAGAACUCAUAAUUUGGUCUCCUGGACUUAAUUUCUAAUUACUUCAUAUUGGUGACUUUUUUUUAACCUCAAAGAGGAAAACGGCAAGCCCUAAAUGCCUGUUUUUCUCCUUUUUUGGCCCAAGUGGGUAACUGAGGCUCAGUUUACAUACAUCAAAUUACCAAAAUGCUGUCUUGUAUAUAGUUUUGAAAGAUAGAGAUGGGUUUGUAAUGUUUUUCAGACCUGAUUCAGAGCUCAAUUUAGUUUUUCUUUUGGUAUUCAGGCUAUUAUAUUCGUCAUAAAAACAGGCACUGUGUGUGCCUUAGUAAAUAAUUUAUAACUUUCCCCAUAACUCAGGGGAACCCACCAUAGUCUGACUGUCUGCCUUUUACCUUCUCAUCUCUAUACCUCCAGGUCUCUAGUGAUCAUAAAAGUGAUCGAAGCCCUGAUCUGAUUUUUAUCACAAAGCCAUUCUUCUUUGUGGGUACUUUGGUUCUGGAGACAGAGAAUCAUGAGAUCAGAUAAAGCCAUGUGGAGGGCUGAAAGUUGGCUGGAAUGGCGCUUGGGGCCCAGUUUAUGCUGUUGGAGCAUUUCCUGUGUGCCCUUUGAAACCUCUGAACUCAGCUCUUCAAAGUGAGAGCUUUGUCUUUCCGCUGAACACAUAUAUUUGCUACUUAUUAUCUUUCUCUUGCCAUCUCCACCCUUACUUGACUCAGCCAACAUCGAUAUAUCAAAGCAAAAGCAUUGCUCUGACUGAGUCAUAAGUUAUACUUUUACCUGACAUUAUCUGGCUGUGUAGAAAUGAAAGCAUAAAAAUAAUGGAGGUUUUGUGUACAGGUCUACACACACACACACACACACACACACACACACACACACACACACACACACACGUCUUCUUCUUUGCUUCACUUAUCAUGCUCUCACUACUUCCACUGUUUCUCUCCCCAACUCCUGCCCACUCCCACUCAUAGCAGUUUAUUAAAGAAGUAUGUUUUCUCAUGAGCCAAUUGGGUAAUUUUUCAAGUUGAACCCCAUUAACAUUAUAAAUGCCGUUAUAAAUGCUUGUUUUUCAAAAAUUUGUCUUUCCAAAACUUUGUUCUGGGUCAGAAAAUUUAUUUCUCUUUAGAGAGCCAGUGUUGCAUGAGGAAAUUGAAGCUGAUCUCUGGGUGUGUGUUUGUGCUAAUUUGCUGUACAAUCAAAUACAGAUAUAGGUUAAUAAAUGCUGUUCUUUGAUCUGUUGCUACAAAGGAUUCAUUGUAAAUACAUUACUAGAUAAGUAAGUUAGAACUUUGUAACUGUCUCUUGCAAACGGUGCCCCAUGCCACCCAUUAGCAUGUGCAAGAAGUGAUACAUUUGGCUUCAGCCUGCCUGGGUUUUACUUUGCUGAUUUGUUUAUUUUUAAAAUAGUUACCCAUAGUAUACUUCCAUUUGGGGUGUCCUCAUAGAAGGAUAGCACUCAGGCAGAGAAAUAGCCCAAAAAAACAAUAACAGCACCAAAAACUUGGUAGCAAGAAUUUAAUAAAACCAAGGGAGGCCAAUGUUUCUAUAGGUAACCAUUUAACAUUUGUCAUUAUGUGUCUAGCUCUAGCCAAGGCAUUGCAAAGAAUGCAAAAAGACAUGAUCAAAGGCCUCAAGAUGUUUACAGUCCUGUUAGGGGAUGAAGGUAUUGGAGUGAAUCACAUUCACUAAAAUGGGAAUAAAGACUUCUACCUUAAAAUCAUGGUGUUUUUCAGGGAAUCAGAACUAAUAUGAUAUGACUGGAGUUAAUAUGUUAUUGUGGGGGAUGGGGAGGAGUAGACUAUUGGUAGUUGUGGCUACAAAUUUGGCAGGAUUCAAAUAUUGAAAGGGAUUUGUAUGUCAAGCUAAAGAAUUAUAAUUUUUCUCUAUAGACAAUGGGGGAAUUAACCACCGAAGAAUUUUGAGUUGGUGAAUGACAUAAAAAGAUUUGUAUUUUAGAAAAAUAACUGGCAUGUUGCGGGGUGUGAAAUGAAGUAAAAGAAGUCUUCAGUUGUGAAGUUACAUGUCCAUUGAGUCUAGCAGAUACCAAACAAUCACAUCAAAAUCCUGAAAUAAUAAUAAAUAAAGAAUUCUACCUUGUCUGUCUCAGUGAUUGUACGUGGAG
rnacentral:lncRNA from 1 species